rnacentral:rRNA from 1 species
UACAGAGGGUGCGAGCGUUAAUCGGAAUUACUGGGCGUAAAGCGUGCGUAGACGGUUAUUUAAGUCGGAUGUGAAAGCCCCGGGCUCAACCUGGGAAUUGCAUUCGAGACUGAAUAGCUAGGGUGCGGUAGAGGGAAGCGGAAUUUCCGGUGUAGCGGUGAAAUGCGUAGAUAUCGGAAGGAACAUCAGUGGCGAAAGCGGCUUCCUGGACCAGCACCGACGUUCAGGCACGAAAGCGCGGGGAGCAAACAGG